AUGUGUACGACUGUUUGAAUGGACCUGUUCCAUUGGAUGCCCUCCAUUUCCGUGCUUAGACUCUCAAAACAGGACAAAAACAAUUCUCACUCAGAAUUUACUAUAACGAGUUUGGACACGUCUGUAAUGUUUCUGAGAGGAACUUUUAAUGUUACAGAGACAGAAAGCUGCACACAGGGAAUCAUAAAAAUUUCAGCGGCAAAUCCAUCUCUUGUAAACAAUGCCAAAAAGGGAUAAAGGAAAAGGGAGGGAGAGAGAGAGAGAGAAAGAGAGGGAGGAGGGGGAUGUGCAUAGUGCAUCAAGUGACGUGAGGGGGUGUUUGAUGGGAGGGGAAACAUUUGGUGGGAAGAGAAAAAGAGUGUGCUUGAAAUGAGCAUGUCAGACUGAGAGAUAAAAAGAAGGGAUAUCUUGAGGACAAAGUCUUUACCAGCAGAGUAAAGAGGAAGUCAUACUCCAGGGGAUUCAAGUUUUCAGAAGCGACAAUGCUAAUUUGGAAUCCUACCUUGAUGUUGCUGAGGCUUCCAGCCCUUCUUCUCUGUCUGUCAGGGAGCUUGUCAGCCCUUGAUGUUCCAAUUCAUGUGGUUUAUGGUGACGAUGAGGAAGAGACAACGACAAUGACACCCAACAACAAACACUCUGAUGUCACCAGAGUCACUGUAGAUUACAAGAUAUGUGACUACGACCUUUGUGUGGCCCAAGAGGAAAGUUGCCAGGACAUUGCAGCCAAAAUGGGGUGCCUGUGUCCAGGGAUCACACUUGAAUCUGUGCCUCCUCACCCUCCACAGGUCACAGGUGUAAGUCUGGCAGAAUCUGGGGGGGUUAUCGUCCAAUGGUGCGCCCCCUUCUCCUCCGUGUCCCAGUAUCGAGUCACUACGGCAACGAACAAUAACGAAGACCAAUUCCAGGUCUUUGAGAAAAUGUUCCGCAAUGCAACUCUUGAAGGUGUGAAAGUGGGCCAGAGGGUCUGUGUGCAGGCCAUGAACAGGGCAGGCACCAGUCCGCUUUCUGAGGAGUCCUGCUCUACAUACAGGCCAGAGAAGCAUGCAAAUACACCCUUGGUGGCAGGGGUUGUUGCUGGGGGAGUAGGCUUCAUUUUGCUCCUCUCUGUGACCGCACUCGUCCUGUGGAGACGGAAGGCAUGCUGCAAGGGCAGAACAGACAAUGCCCAGGGCCUGAGAAAUCCAUCUUUCAGUACUGAUGGGACGCUGUAGCCUGGAUUCUUACAGGCCAAAAUCACCACAGGAACGGGAAGUGGAUUUUGUAAAUCUGAUGACUCACGAGAGCGAUAUGUUAAUCCCUGCUUGUAAUAGUCUUGAUGCCUGCGGAUUAGCCUGUUUUCACUUGAGGGUUAGAUAUUGUGGUUGUUUGAAUGUUUGUAUGUUUUUCAGAGGUUGCUAAAUUUGAAUAAGAAACUAGUGCUACUAAUAAUAUGUACUACUAAAGGUGAGAGCCUGGAGCUCCAAUGUGUUCAAUUUUUGUGUAUUACAGGGUAUAAUUUAAUUGUACUGGAUGUAAUGUUAGUGAUGAGCAAGAAUAAUAUAAACAGGGAGGUAAGCGUGUCACAUUGACAGAGCAUGGGGAAAUCUGAUAAAUGUGAGACCAGUCCUGAGGCGUUGAAUGUUGCUUUUGAAGACUGUAUGCAAAUAGAGAAUUGAUUGAGUCACGGUUUCAUCUACCCAACCACGAUGAUAAAACCAUUUUUUUCAGGGGUGGGACUGCAAUGCCUAGGUUACGAAGGGUGGCUUAGGCAAUGGUGUUACACAACCACAAUUUACUUCUUCUCAGUGAUUUUCCAUUUCUGAUUUUAAACAGUCAAACACUGAGUGAAAUUGUUUAAAUAGGCAUUUUAUGUAAAACAUGGACUUCCAACAUCUUAAGAAUAAUGCUGCUAGAUAUUAAGCUCUAUAAUUGCAUGUGUUAAACAAAUGAGUCCACACUAUUAAAUGAACUUCUAUCUCUGAUCAUCUGUUAUAUUUUUUAUUGAUAUUUUUCCUCUAAUAAAAAGAAAAAUAUACACAAA